rnacentral:rRNA from 1 species
UACGUAGGGUGCAAGCGUUGUCCGGAAUUAUUGGGCGUAAAGAGCUCGUAGGCGGUUUGUCGCGUCUGCUGUGAAAACUCGGGGCUUAACUCCGGGCCUGCAGUGGGUACGGGCAGACUAGAGUGCGGUAGGGGAGACUGGAAUUCUCGGUGUAGCGGUGAAAUGCGUAGAUAUCUGGAGGAACACCGGUGGCGAAGGCGGCGUUCUGGACUGCAACUGACACUGAUGAACGAAAGCCAGGGGAGCAAACGGG